AGUGAACGCUGGCGGUAGGCCUAACACAUGCAAGUCGAACGGCAGCACAGAGGAGCUUGCUCCUUGGGUGGCGAGUGGCGGACGGGUGAGGAAUACAUCGGAAUCUACUCUGUCGCGGGGGAUAACGUAGGGAAACUUACGCUAAUACCGCAUACGACCUACGGGUGAAAGCAGGGGAUCUUCGGACCUUGCGCGAUUGAAUGAGCCGAUGUCGGAUUAGCUAGUUGGCGGGGUAAAGGCCCACCAAGGCGACGAUCCGUAGCUGGUCGGAGAGGAGGGUCAGCCACACUGGAACUGAGACACGGUCCAGACUACGACGGGAGGCAGCAGUGGGGAAUAUUGGACAAUGGGCGCAAGCCUGAUCCAGCCAUACCGCGUGGGUGAAGAAGGCCUUCGGGUUGUAAAGCCCUUUUGUUGGGAAAGAAAUCCAUCUGGUUAAUACCCGGGUGGGAUGACGGUACCCAAAGAAUAAGCACCGGCUAACUUCGUGCCAGCAGCCGCCGCAG
rnacentral:rRNA from 1 species